rnacentral:rRNA from 1 species
CACGUAGGGUGCGAGCGUUGUCCGGAAUUAUUGGGCGUAAAGAGCUCGUAGGCGGUGUGUCGCGUCGGCCGUGAAAACCUGCAGCUUAACUGUGGGUGUGCGGUCGAUACGGGCAUCACUGGAGUUCGGCAGGGGAGACUGGAAUUCCUGGUGUAGCGGUGAAAUGCGCAGAUAUCAGGAGGAACACCGGUGGCGAAGGCGGGUCUCUGGGCCGAUACUGACGCUGAGGAGCGAAAGCGUGGGGAGCGAACAGG